UGCAAGUCGUACGAGAACUCUUCUGCUUGCAGAAGAUAGUAAAGUGGCGCACGGGUGAGUAACGCGUGGGUAAUCUGCCUCUGAAUCGGGGAUAACCCGCCGAAAGGCGAGCUAAUACCGGAUAAUAUCUUUAAAACUUCGGUUUUUAAGAUCAAAGGUGGUCUCUACAUGUAAGCUACUGUUUGGAGAUGAGCCCGCGUACCAUUAGCUUGUUGGUAGGGUAAUGGCCUACCAAGGCCGCGAUGGUUAGCUGGUCUGAGAGGAUGAUCAGCCACACUGGAACUGACACACGGUCCAGACUCCUACGGGAGGCAGCAGUGAGGAAUUUUGCGCAAUGGGGGAAACCCUGACGCAGCAACGCCGCGUGAGUGAUGAAGGCUUUCGGGUCGUAAAGCUCUGUCAAGUGGGAAGAACCUGCUAGAUAUUAAUACCAUCUAGCACUGACGGUACCACUAAAGGAAGCACCGGCUAACUCCGUGCCAGCAGCCGCGGUAAUACGGGGGGUGCAAGCGUUAUUCGGAAUUAUUGGGCGUAAAGGGCGCGUAGGCGGUCUCUAAAGUCAGAUGUGAAAGCCCGG
rnacentral:rRNA from 1 species